rnacentral:rRNA from 1 species
CCUACGGGUGGCAGCAGUGGGGAAUAUUGGACAAUGGGCGAAAGCCUGAUCCAGCCAUGCCGCGUGUGUGAAGAAGGCCUUCGGGUUGUAAAGCACUUUCAGUGGGGAAGAAAGCCUUGGGGCUAAUACCCUCGAGGAAGGACAUCACCCACAGAAGAAGCACCGGCUAACUCCGUGCCAGCAGCCGCGGUAAUACGGAGGGUGCGAGGGUUAAUCGGAAUUACUGGGCGUAAAGCGCGCGUAGGCGGUCUGAUAAGCCGGUUGUGAAAGCCCCGGGCUCAACCUGGGAACGGCAUCCGGAACUGUCAGGCUAGAGUGCAGGAGAGGAAGGUAGAAUUCCCGGUGUAGCGGUGAAAUGCGUAGAGAUCGGGAGGAAUACCAGUGGCGAAGGCGGCCUUCUGGACUGACACUGACGCUGAGGUGCGAAAGCGUGGGUAGCAAACAGGAUUAGAUACCCCAGUAGUC